rnacentral:rRNA from 1 species
AUGGAGCCGACCUUGAAAUACCACCCUUUAAUGUUUGAUGUUCUAACGUUGACCCGUAAUCCGGGUUGCGGACAGUGUCUGGUGGGUAGUUUGACUGGGGCGGUCUCCUCCUAAAGAGUAACGGAGGAGCACGAAGGUUGGCUAAUCCUGGUCGGACAUCAGGAGGUUAGUGCAAUGGCAUAAGCCAGCUUGACUGCGAGCGUGACGGCGCGAGCAGGUGCGAAAGCAGGUCAUAGUGAUCCGGUGGUUCUGAAUGGAAGGGCCAUCGCUCAACGGAUAAAAGGUACUCCGGGGAUAACAGGCUGAUACCGCCCAAGAGUUCAUAUCGACGGCGGUGUUUGGCACCUCGAUGUCGGCUCAUCACAUCCUGGGGCUGAAGUAGGUCCCAAGGGUAUGGCUGUUCGCCAUUUAAAGUGGUACGCGAGCUGGGUUUAGAACGUCGUGAGACAGUUCGGUCCCUAUCUGCCGUGGGCGCUGGAGAACUGAGGGGGGCUGCUCCUAGUACGAGAGGACCGGAGUGGACGCAUCACUGGUGUUCGGGUUGUCAUGCCAAUGGCACUGCCCGGUAGCUAAAUGCGGAAGAGAUAAGUGCUGAAAGCAUCUAAGCACGAAACUUGCCCCGAGAUGAGUUCUCCCUGACUCCUUGAGAGUCCUGAAGGAACGUUGAAGACGACGACGUUGAUAGGCCGGGUGUGUAAGCGCAGCGAUGCGUUGAGCU